AAGGAUAUGUGCAAGAAUGGUUAUAGAAACUUUCUUUUUAAAAAAAAUUUUUUUAGAGAUCUCUAACUUCAUGCUAAGAGCAGUUUGGAGAGACUUUGACAGAACAGGUCAACAUAAUAUCUGCAACUUCCAUUCGACUUUUCUAUAAUA
rnacentral:snoRNA from 1 species